UUUGUAGCAUGUGAAAAUGUUUCCUAGAUUAUCACGGCUGGCUUUGCCUGUCCGUCCUUCCUUCCUUCCGUCCUUUCCUUCCUUCCCGCUCCCCGUGGUUUGUGUUUUUAUAACUGCUGUGAAACUGGAAUGAACACAGCUCAUCACCUUCGAAACAGAUAUUUUUAAAAGGGAGAAAGAAAGGGAGUUACUCAUAUGGAAUUACUCCAAGGUUGCUAAACAAUUCUUAGGCAAACAGAUACUGCAAAUCAGCCAAAAUGGCAAAUCUGGAUUUUCCAGUUCAGAGAGAGAGAGAGAGAGAGAGAGAGAGAGAAUUGGAAGAAGAACGCAGCAAAGGCACAGAGCGAGGAGGAGCGGAUGGCAGGAAAAGGUUGGGAGCAUUGUGAAAUGUUAACGGGAGAAGUCUUGACCUUGUUGAAGGAUUCCGAUUCAGUGUUGUGGAUUUGCUUCGUACACGCAGAAGAAGCCUCUUCCCCUGUUGCUGGAGGUGAAUUAGUAUUUACAGAAGAACAUAAAGGAAGAAAGAGAAGUUGCCCCAAGGAGCAUACAAAUCAAAACUUCAAGCAGGGAAAGUGGAAAGGGAGGGUUACAAGAAUGAAGGGGAAACAGAACACAUCACGCAUGUAGAAAUAUAUAAUAAAAAAAACCCUGCUUGUAGGGCAGCAAAUUAAAAGAACUUGCAGAGUUAUAAAUGAAA